CAGAAAAAAGAGCUCACGUUGAAAUGAUGGCUCCCAGCGUGAGCCUUCGCGGCGCUUUGCGGCGGAUGUGACCGAGUGCGUAGGUUAACAAGUGCGCCGAUUAGAAGUGCUCGCCGUUCCACGGUGCUUCAUCGUGCUUCCGCGUCUGAUCCGUGACCACUGCUGUUGUGAAGCCGAAGCCCCACUGCUGAAUAUUCAUGCAGCUUCCAGCUGAAGGGACAGGCGGCAUCACCUCAGCAGCCUGAAGACACCCACACCCAUCAACACAUCCUGAAGUUCAUGACGAGUCUCUCAAGGCUUCCUUAGACCUGCUGACUGACCUCACCUGUCUGCUAAGAUGAAGGUAGAGUUAGUCCACAGAAGGUCAAGGCCACGUUUAUUUCUAAAGCACACUUAAUAUUGCUUUCGCAACCCAAAGUGCUGUACAUCACACAAGAUAAAAUCACAAGAAAGUAUAACUAAAAACCAUAAAACCAUUAAAAUCAGAAGUUAGGAUAAAAACAACAUUAUAUCACAAUUAUAAAAUCAAUAAAAAUGAGAAAGAAUGACAAUGAGAACAAUAAAAUCAUCCAACAUAAAAGCCAGGUUGAAGAAAUGUGUUUUAUGCAAGGACUUAAAUACAUCCAGAUUUUGAGAGGUCCUGAUUUGCAGAGGAAGGCUGCUCCAGAGCGUAGGGCCGGCCACAGAAAAUGCCCUAUCUCCUGUCGUCUUUAGGCAAGAUUUUGGAACUGACAAUAAAAAGCCCGAAUGCAAAUUCCUGGCAGGAGUGUAGGUUGACAAUAAAUCAUCUACACUCUACAAAAAUAUAAAUGCAACACCUUUGUUUCUGCUCCGAUUUUUCAUGAGAUGGACUUAAAGAUCUAAAAUUCAUUCCAGAUACACAAUAUUACCAUUUCUCUCAAACAUUGUUCACAAAUCAGUCUAAAUGUGUGAUAGUGAGCACUUCUGCUUUGCUGAGAUAAUCCAUCCCACCUCACAGGUGUGCCACAUCAAGAUGUUGAUCCAACAUCAUGAGUAGUGCACAGGUGUACCUUAUACUGCCCACAAUAAAAGGCCACCCUGGAAUGUGCAGUUUUUUGCUUUUUUGGGGGAACUAGGUUAAAUGAGUCGACAAUCUUUUAAAAACUCCUCAACGAAUGAUUUGGCCUCACAACAUAAAUGAAUAUUGAAAUUACCAACAACCAAAAACAUAUCAUACUCGAGAGCGACUCCGGCUACAAAAUCAGAGAACUCUCUAAUGAAGUUAUUGCUCAUUUUGGGAAGGCGGUAGAUAAGGGCACAAAGCACUGUCGGAGACAGUCGAAGCUCAAAGAGUUGGAGUUCAAAAGUAAGGAAGGUACCAGGUUGAGGUAGUUUACGACAAUGAAAAUAAUUCCUGUAGACUGUAGCCAAUCCUCCACCCCUCCCAGAAGUCCGAGGGGUAUUCAAAUAUUAGCAUUUUGGAGGAAUAAGUUCAAAAAAUGGCACAGACUCUCCCUGGAUCCACGUUUCACACAAGAACAUGAUUCCCAGCUGAUUUGUUUUAAAAAAAGUCAUUUAGAAUAAAAGUUGUAUUUACCAGGCAUCUGGAAUUGAGCUGGCACAUCUUAAUUGCAGAACCUUUUGCAUCUGCUUGGAAUCUGGGAAAGGAGCGGAGAUUCCAAAAGAUCACGCCGCGUCUCCCGUGUUGCGGCUUCCUUGGCCAAAAAGCUCCAGUCAUCUGAUACGAUGGUGAUUCCUGGUCUACUAGGAAGAACGGUUGGAUCCAUCGAUGGCUUAAUUCUCCAGACAAUCCUCCGCAUGACCGCUGAUAAGCUCUAAUCCUGACAAGCACACCUGAAUGCCGUCCUCUUUUCCGAGACCUCCGCCAGAGAGAGCCUGUGACCGAAUGAGGAGAGGCGGGAGCGGCUGAGAUGACAGGUGGAGGAGAAAGGUUUGAUGAGCAUCCUCCCAAUAAAAAAUCAUUCCAAAAAAGCCCAUGGGAUUCCUUGAUUUCAAAAAGUGUCUGGCGAUCAUAAACAAGGCCAGAAACACUAUGAAAAGACGCCAAAAACACAUUCAAAACAUAAAAGCAGCAAGAAUCUGAAGGCUGAGAGAUGUGUCGCCGUGCCCACUGCUGGCGCCGCCAUCUUCCCACCAGUUAACAUCAGACUUUAAAUGUACAAAAGGAGGAGAGAAACUGAAGGAAGUUGACCCUGAUAUGCUGGUGGUCCUGAGGAAUGCUGCCUUGAUGCCAGUGACAGCUGCUGCUGGAGAGAGGAGCUUCUCCUGGUAGAACUGACUAAAACAUACCUGAGAUCCAGCACGUGUCACUGUUAAAGGACUUGUUCUUCUAAACAUCAGCCAUAAAGCCUAAUUUGUACUUCUCCAUCAGCUCCACCAGGGAGAGACACGCAUGGACAGAGGCAAUUUGUCCUCAGACAUCUCCGUCUCCUGGGGAGUGUUUCCCUGCCAGGACAACAGAAGGCGUAGCGCUGUUCUGUGGUAUCCUGUCAUGUAUCUGCUCCGAGAUAACAUGUUUAAUUGUGUUUUUGUAUUCGGUUACUCUUCAUGUGCUCGCCACCUCUAAACCCACAUUCCCAUCAUUUCCAUCCGCAAAUGAAACACUAGCUGCACAUCUUUUCACUCCUCCGGUCGCAGGUGAAUAAAACGUUCAGAUUACACUUUUUCUGCGAGGUAUUCUUCAAUCUGCUCCAUGUCUGCCUCUAGAUAUCCUCAGUUCUUUUUGUUCUUGAGGGUGCAAAGCCGGCGCUGUUGACGACAGCGGCAUCCUGACCAAUCACAAGCUUGCAUUCUCCGUCUUCGUGCAUGUGGCGGGGUGGGGGGCGCCAAAUUGUGUAGAGCCGGCCCUGGGCUUCUGGCUGGACAAGUGACUUGAGGGGAUGCCCGUCUUCUGAUUGGCUCAUUAUCCAAGGUUGGAGAUAAGCGGGACAUUAACUACAUGCUCACCCGACGCAAACAAAGUUUUUUCUGGUAUUUUUAGCAAGAAAAACGCAGUAACGCUAAAAACGCCCAGGAAACUCUGUUAGCUUUGGGUUAGCAUGUAGCUAAUGUCCCACUGAUCUCCGUCCGUGGUGAAUGAGCCGAUCCAAAAGGCCGGGGCUCCCGGUCACAGCGAUCGGGCUCUGCUCGGACCCUAUAACCCUAACCCUGCUCUGGACCGGUGUUGGCUCGGAGUUUCCUCAUCAGAAGACUGACCAGACUGCAGGAACACCCAGCAUCACCCCGCUAGGAGAAGUUCAUUCAUUAGAUUUCUCCAACAGCAGACAGAGAUGACAUACCUAUACUGGUGAAAGGUUCAUUCACUGCUAAACUACUGAUGGAUGGUGACAGGCAGAGAAAACCUCUCUGAGAAAGGAAGUCAGCCUCUAAAUUUCUGCAGCACCCUCUGCUGAUGAUCAGCUCACUAACUGUCGGCAGGUUCAAGCGGUCGUCCUGCUACAUUCAGAAGAGUUUUCCAAACCACGCCCACCCUCUUGGAUGGCUGGACAGCUGCAGAUCAUCCUGAAUUAUCCUUCUUGCCCAUCUACAUGGUUCAGAGACAAAAUUAGCUGACAUGUUUGAGUUCCUCCAGCAGCCAGACAAUGAUGCCACAGAGCAUCAUUAGCACUGCAGAGGGACUUUUCUUUCUAUAAAAGUUAUCUGAUUAUUUGGAAACAGCUUUUUGUUGUGGCUGAAUGCAAUACGCUUCCAUACCACUCCACACAACCUCGCUCUGCUGCCAAACAGCACGUCUGAGGAAGCAGUUGGAAGUUGUGUAACAAAAACAGAGACGUCCAUUAAAACUGAGAAUUAUGAAGCCAGAUUACAAAGGACAUUCUUUCAAAUCCUCCCUCAACUUAUUGAUCUCACUGGUAACUUGUUCAGCAUGAUGGUUAUUAGUCAGCAUUACAGCUGCAGCAAUUGCAGAAACUGGUGGCACCAUCCUGCGGGGCUUAAAUGAGGUUAGAGGUCCAAAGACAGAGACGCCUUAGAGAAGGCAGAUGGGAGGAGACGGUCAUUCUGAAUACAGACGGGGUGAUGAUCAGCACAUGAUACAGCCCAGAGGACAAAGGUGUGGCUU